GGGUUGUGAGGUUAAGCGACUAAGCGUACACGGUGGAUGCCCUGGCAGUCAGAGGCGAUGAAGGACGUGCUAAUCUGCGAUAAGCGUCGGUAAGGUGAUAUGAACCGUUAUAACCGGCGAUUUCCGAAUGGGGAAACCCAGUGUGAUUCGUCACACUAUCAUUAACUGAAUCCAUAGGUUAAUGAGGCGAACCGGGGGAACUGAAACAUCUAAGUACCCCGAGGAAAAGAAAUCAACCGAGAUUCCCCCAGUAGCGGCGAGCGAACGGGGAGCAGCCCAGAGCCUGAAUCAGUGUGUGUGUUAGUGGAAGCGUCUGGAAAGGCGCGCGAUACAGGGUGACAGCCCCGUACACAAAAAUGCACAUGCUGUGAGCUCGAUGAGUAGGGCGGGACACGUGGUAUCCUGUCUGAAUAUGGGGGGACCAUCCUCCAAGGCUAAAUACUCCUGACUGACCGAUAGUGAACCAGUACCGUGAGGGAAAGGCGAAAAGAACCCCGGCGAGGGGAGUGAAAAAGAACCUGAAACCGUGUACGUACAAGCAGUGGGAGCACGCUUAGGCGUGUGACUGCGUACCUUUUGUAUAAUGGGUCAGCGACUUAUAUUCUGUAGCAAGGUUAACCGAAUAGGGGAGCCGAAGGGAAACCGAGUCUUAACUGGGCGUUAAGUUGCAGGGUAUAGACCCGAAACCCGGUGAUCUAGCCAUGGGCAGGUUGAAGGUUGGGUAACACUAACUGGAGGACCGAACCGACUAAUGUUGAAAAAUUAGCGGAUGACUUGUGGCUGGGGGUGAAAGGCCAAUCAAACCGGGAGAUAGCUGGUUCUCCCCGAAAGCUAUUUAGGUAGCGCCUCGUGAAUUCAUCUCCGGGGGUAGAGCACUGUUUCGGCAAGGGGGUCAUCCCGACUUACCAACCCGAUGCAAACUGCGAAUACCGGAGAAUGUUAUCACGGGAGACACACGGCGGGUGCUAACGUCCGUCGUGAAGAGGGAAACAACCCAGACCGCCAGCUAAGGUCCCAAAGUCAUGGUUAAGUGGGAAACGAUGUGGGAAGGCCCAGACAGCCAGGAUGUUGGCUUAGAAGCAGCCAUCAUUUAAAGAAAGCGUAAUAGCUCACUGGUCGAGUCGGCCUGCGCGGAAGAUGUAACGGGGCUAAACCAUGCACCGAAGCUGCGGCAGCGACGCUUAUGCGUUGUUGGGUAGGGGAGCGUUCUGUAAGCCUGUGAAGGUGUACUGUGAGGUAUGCUGGAGGUAUCAGAAGUGCGAAUGCUGACAUAAGUAACGAUAAAGCGGGUGAAAAGCCCGCUCGCCGGAAGACCAAGGGUUCCUGUCCAACGUUAAUCGGGGCAGGGUGAGUCGACCCCUAAGGCGAGGCCGAAAGGCGUAGUCGAUGGGAAACAGGUUAAUAUUCCUGUACUUGGUGUUACUGCGAAGGGGGGACGGAGAAGGCUAUGUUGGCCGGGCGACGGUUGUCCCGGUUUAAGCGUGUAGGCUGGUUUUCCAGGCAAAUCCGGAAAAUCAAGGCUGAGGCGUGAUGACGAGGCACUACGGUGCUGAAGCAACAAAUGCCCUGCUUCCAGGAAAAGCCUCUAAGCAUCAGGUAACAUCAAAUCGUACCCCAAACCGACACAGGUGGUCAGGUAGAGAAUACCAAGGCGCUUGAGAGAACUCGGGUGAAGGAACUAGGCAAAAUGGUGCCGUAACUUCGGGAGAAGGCACGCUGAUAUGUAGGUGAAGUCCCUCGCGGAUGGAGCUGAAAUCAGUCGAAGAUACCAGCUGGCUGCAACUGUUUAUUAAAAACACAGCACUGUGCAAACACGAAAGUGGACGUAUACGGUGUGACGCCUGCCCGGUGCCGGAAGGUUAAUUGAUGGGGUCAGCGCAAGCGAAGCUCUUGAUCGAAGCCCCGGUAAACGGCGGCCGUAACUAUAACGGUCCUAAGGUAGCGAAAUUCCUUGUCGGGUAAGUUCCGACCUGCACGAAUGGCGUAAUGAUGGCCAGGCUGUCUCCACCCGAGACUCAGUGAAAUUGAACUCGCUGUGAAGAUGCAGUGUACCCGCGGCAAGACGGAAAGACCCCGUGAACCUUUACUAUAGCUUGACACUGAACAUUGAGCCUUGAUGUGUAGGAUAGGUGGGAGGCUUUGAAGUGUGGACGCCAGUCUGCAUGGAGCCGACCUUGAAAUACCACCCUUUAAUGUUUGAUGUUCUAACGUGGACCCGUAAUCCGGGUUGCGGACAGUGUCUGGUGGGUAGUUUGACUGGGGCGGUCUCCUCCUAAAGAGUAACGGAGGAGCACGAAGGUUGGCUAAUCCUGGUCGGACAUCAGGAGGUUAGUGCAAUGGCAUAAGCCAGCUUGACUGCGAGCGUGACGGCGCGAGCAGGUGCGAAAGCAGGUCAUAGUGAUCCGGUGGUUCUGAAUGGAAGGGCCAUCGCUCAACGGAUAAAAGGUACUCCGGGGAUAACAGGCUGAUACCGCCCAAGAGUUCAUAUCGACGGCGGUGUUUGGCACCUCGAUGUCGGCUCAUCACAUCCUGGGGCUGAAGUAGGUCCCAAGGGUAUGGCUGUUCGCCAUUUAAAGUGGUACGCGAGCUGGGUUUAGAACGUCGUGAGACAGUUCGGUCCCUAUCUGCCGUGGGCGCUGGAGAACUGAGGGGGGCUGCUCCUAGUACGAGAGGACCGGAGUGGACGCAUCACUGGUGUUCGGGUUGUCAUGCCAAUGGCACUGCCCGGUAGCUAAAUGCGGAAGAGAUAAGUGCUGAAAGCAUCUAAGCACGAAACUUGCCCCGAGAUGAGUUCUCCCUGAC
rnacentral:rRNA from 1 species